GAUGUAGCGAAAUAUAUAGCGUGUUGGACUUCUAAUCCAAAAGUUAUGGGUUCGAAUCCCACCUGAGAUA